CACGGGUUCAGAAAACCGCACGAAACAAAGAGUCGCCCCCCAUCCCAACGAAAUGAUGCUGUGACCUUUCCAGUCCCGCACGCUGCGGGGUUCCUGCUGUCAGCGCGUCUUACGGCCAGUGAUGCUCACUUAGACCACUUAGUUAACACGGUUUCUGCUCUUUCUCCACUAGAGAGAUCACAAGUUGGCAGAGAGGCA